UAGACACGUCUUCUUGGAAAGCUGGUUAA
rnacentral:piRNA from 1 species